rnacentral:rRNA from 1 species
UACGUAGGGGGCGAGCGUUGUCCGGAUUUAUUGGGCGUAAAAGGCUUGUAGGUGGCCACGUCAAGUCGGAUGUGAAAUCUCCCGGCUCAACUGGGAGGGGUCAUUCGAUACUGGCGGGCUCGAGGCCGGUAGGGGGAAGCGGAAUUCCCGGUGUAGUGGUGGAAUGCGUAGAUAUCGGGAGGAACACCAGUGGCGAAGGCGGCUUCCUGGACCGGUUCUGACACUGAGGAGCGAAAGCUAGGGGAGCAAACAGG